rnacentral:rRNA from 1 species
GACGAACGCUGGCGGCGUGCUUAACACAUGCAAGUCGAACGGACAGGCCCUGCUCUUGCUGGGUGCUCGUGUGGCGAACGGGUGAGUAACACGUGUGUAACCUCCCCCUGUCUUUCGGAUAAAUUCAGGAAACUGGGGCUAAUACACGAUAGAAGCUCCUGCUCCAUGUUGUUGAUUGGAAAGUUUCGGCUGUGAGGGAUGGUCUGGCGGCUUAUCAGCUUGUUGGUGUGGUAGUUGCUUACCAAGGCUUUGACGGAUAGCCGGCCUGGGAGGGUGACCGGGGACAAGGGGCCUGAGAUAGGGCCCAGACUGCAACGGGAGGCAGCAGGGGGGAAUUUGGCACAACGGGGGGAAGCGUGAUGCAGCAACGUUGCGUGCGGGAUGACGGGUUUCGGGUUGUAAACAGCUUUCGCCGGUGACGAAGCGUGAGUGACGGUAAUGAGUAAAGAAGCACCGGCUAACUACGUG